CACCCUGUGACCAUGAAAAAGACAAGCGGUUUGGAAGAUGGACUGAAUCCUGAUACGACUCCUCACUUCUGGCCAUAAAAUGGCUGAAAGAUUCAUCACAAUACUCAGUUCAGUUGAGCUGUGUGCCAUUAAUUCAUCACUGUGAGGCGGAGUCAAUGCAAAUCUUGAUCUCUUCCAUCUUUAUUUAUCUCACUGCAAACUGAGGAAGAGAGACCAAACCACUGACCAGACAUGCAACACAUUUUCAGAAUGACUUUAGCUACAUGUUUAAUGUUUCUGAUGAUCAUCCAUUUCUGGUGUUUGCAGUCAGACUCUGGCCGAGUCUGAAGCAGUGGUGAAGCGGCAUGGAGAAUCCCACAAACUGACCUGUACUUAUGCAGGAAUAUCAGAUGAUGAUGCUGCUAUCAGCUGGAUCAGACAAGCUGAAGGAAAAGGACUGGAGUGGGUUGCCUACAUUUCUGCUCCCAGUGGAAGCAUUAAAGCUUAUUCCACGUCAGUCCAGAAUCGCUUCACCAUUUCCAGAGACAACAACAUGGACCAGGUGUAUCUGCAGAUGAACAGCCUGACGACUGAAGACUCUGCUGUUUAUUAUUGUGCUCGAAAGCCACAGUGACACAGGAAGCCACAGAGCUGUACACAAACCACUGCAGAUGUGACUGUGACAGUCACUGAUAGAAAGUGUUGUAAAACCACUUUAUACAAGCUGUUUUUAAAACACCCCCUAAUUCAGAAUAUCUGAUGCAUUUCCCCACACUAUGCUUCUGUCACAGCUUGUCCUAAACUGAAACAAAGAGUGGAGUUUACACACCAUCAGGUUGAUCAUCUCCUGUUAUGAGGCUGAGCAGCACUUUAUCUGUAAGAACAAUAACAAAGAAUUAUCUUAGUCUUUCUUGACCCCUCAUAUCUGCUGAUGGCUGCCAAAAAGACCAAAUUACACAAAGCUCCAAUCAAAUUUAAACAUUCAUCAUUGCUUUCAUAUUUCAGUUUGUAUUUAUCAAUUUUAUGACAUUAAUUAAAGUUAGCAGCUAACAUAGCGGUCCUAUAAGCUGACUCAGUCAAGAAUGGGCACCAGAACGGGCAACGGAACCGGGAUCAGCAGACUCCCAGUGAACACGGCCAGACCGGGACCGACAGAGGCCAGUUUGACGACAGGGAAUA